CCACAUAUUUCACUUAACAACUGAGAGGCAGUUUAAGCUAGAAAAUCUUAUUGGACAUCCGUGAAGAACAAUACAGGAGAGGAAAAUGGCAAAAGCAAACAAAAAUGAUUUUAAACUUUCAACUGACUAAACUAGAGCUGAAUGGGGCUCUGACAUCACUGUGCCAUGCCACCUGUCACCUGAAAUCAGUGCUGUUGAC